rnacentral:snRNA from 14 species
GGCUCUGUGCAGUGGCAGUAUCAUAGCCAAUGAGGUUUAUCUGAGGCAUGAUUAUUGCCAAUUAUUGCUGGUUACUGCUAAUUGAAACAGAAAGCCAGAUGGUCAUAGGUUCUGACACCAGG